UUGGGGGAAAUAGAAAUCAGCUGGGCUGUGGGGACUGGAAUGGUGGCACAGGGGAGAGUUCCAAGGAGGACCACGGGGAGUUGGAGGAUAGGGUGGGAAGGAUUUUUGUGGGUGGAAGAAAAACGUAUAAACAGAACCAAAGGGUGAGGGUCUAUCUGGGAAGAUCACUUCCCCCCGAAUUGAGCUUAGCAUCUGGAAUAUUGGGCCAGAGGUCACAACUGUCUCCCCUGUCAGCGUCCUUUCUUUCGAGCAUCACACUCCUGUCACUUCAGUCUGAAGUUAUAGCAUCGUUUUUGUUGCCAGUGUGUCUCAUUCCUGGUUUGUAUUGGGUGUGGAUGAGAACGGAAAUCUUCUGGGGUUUCCACAUGGCCCUUGUCUGGACAUCCAAGCCCCCUGUCGCUGACCUUCAGUCACAGCAACGUCCAUGACCUCUCGGAUUUCUUCCUUUGUCUGCUAGAACAUUCCAGACACAGGUGUUUGGAAGCACCUAUGCAUCAGGGCCGCGCUAUGUGCGGGAGAGAAUGAGAAGAGCGUGUCUGGUUCCCUUCCUCGUGGUACCUGGAGUCCACCACGGCUGGGCUACAGACGAGUGGCCACAGACUCCUGGCCACUGAAAGCUUCAGACUCUGUUUACCCCUGCGUCCAUCUGCUGCUUAGUCACGGAGCCGCCCCGCUUGCUGAUGGCGUCCAGCCCUGGGCAGGACCCCACGUCUCAGGAGGACCCAAGGCAAGCCGCAGCCCAUCCCCAGAAAGUCCCUUCUGAUCAGUUCUUACUAGAGUGUCGCCGGCUGCGCUGAGGGAGGCCCCCAUGGACGCAGGAACAGGUGCACUCCCGGCGUCUUUGGCUGGACAGUACUGACGGUUGGGGGGUUCCGGUCCCGCAGCCCCCACCCGGCUUGGGACCAGCGCCCUCCCACGAAGAGUCUAUCCCCAGGCCAGCCCAGGUAAGCGCAGAAACGGACAGGUAUUCCUUACGAGCAUUUACGUUACGGUUACAUUACGGUUUUAAGAGAUACGGAGGACUUCAGCUGGCAGAACAGACCUCAUGAACGAGGUCAUGGAAGCCAGGAACAAAACGGUGUAUGAUCCUAGUCUGCACGCUAAUUCCCAGCGGGCGGAAACGGACGGAAGGCGGUCACCCGGGACACGCAGGUGUGUGCACCGUCUGAGGGCACAUCCGGCAUGUGGGAAGGCGACCGACCUUACGUAUUUAUUCCUUCGUGCAUCCUCGCAAAAAUCAUGGAGCUUAUCAUGUGCUGGACACUUGAGUGCACUGCCUGCGUUCCAGAAGAAAAUGAGGCCGUGUUCUUGUUCUCAGGGAGGGUCCAGUCCGAUGGAGGCCACGGAUGCAAUAAAGCAAGGAGAGAGUGUCGUAGGUGUCGUGCAGACGCUUGGGUCAGGACAUCGCGGCCGCAGAGGCUAAAGGAGCAGGAAGAUGGGAGGAAUGAUCGUCUCCUGAGGGCACGGUCCUGCCGUUCGGAAGCACCUUCACGGCUCUCGUUAUCAUUCAGACCCUGGGGCAGCUGGGAGGAAGGCGCUCUGACCCUCAGCCCAUCGCCCCAGGGGGACACUCCCGAAGGCAUCUGUACUGAGCCAGAAAGAACAGCGAGUGGCAGAUCGGGGACAAAAAAUACCUCCCUCGCAUCCUUUACCUGAUUUCACCCAAUGAUACUGUAUUACUGAAUAUGUAAACCAACAACGUAUAAAAUAGCCUGGGGCUGUUUUCAGGAGCUAAGGUCUCGAGUUUCUCCCCUCAGUGGGCUUUUAGACGUUGGAUACAUGACGGCAUUGGGAUCAGACGAGUGACCGAGGCCCAAAGAAUGGCCAAGUUCGUGGGUCGCGGUGACCAGGAAGUUAACUCCUGCAACCCAAGAGUGACACGCAGGAACCGUUAGAGCAGCCCAGUGAACAACGUCACACGUGACGCGCGAGGGAAAACGAGACAACCGCAGGAACGCACACCUCUUCAGAGCCUUUGCCGCUCACCUCCUCGAGUCUAGGCCCCACGAGUGGAGGGCUGAGAAGGAGCCUCAAAGCGUAGUGCUUUGAUCUCAUCACCCCGUCUGCUUUUACAAAAACGUGCUGUUUUUCUAAGGUCAUUCCCCCAGACAGCCGUCUUCUGGAGUGGAAAGCAGAGGCUUCAGAGGCAUUAGGGACCCAGGCUCAAGGCCCAGCUCUGCUGCUCACUAGCUGGAUACUUGGGACACAUGACCUGACCUCCCGAGUCUUGGUUCCUCGUGUUAAUCAGAGAUAAUUGCUCCCACUGUGUAGGUCUGUCAUAUUCCUGAGAGCUUUCCAGUAUCUGGAAAAUAAUGGCUAUUCACGGACAGUGACUUUGAGCAUGAGGAGAGAGACAAUCGGCCUUGAGGAAGCCAGGACAGCAAGGCAGGGUCUCCUGGCAACGCCAGGUUUGGUUCUGAUUGAUUGAAUCAUCUUCCCUCAGAUUCACAGAUGGGCUGUGCUAGGAAGGCAGAAGGCAAGAGCCUGGGAGUUAGCAGUGUGGCCAGAGCUCUGACAGUGGGCAGACACCAGAGACCCUCUGUGAGCCCACCCGGAGAGGGAAGAAAGCGGAACCAGCAGGACACGCAGGAUGUGGGAGCGAGCCCUGGUCACCACCUCACAAGGCUCAGAGCUAACAGCAGACAAUGCGGUGGUGGUGACUUCCCACGACCAGACACUCCUACGGAUCUCUAGCUCAGGGGCAGGGAGCAGCCACGUUAUCUUAUCUAAUUAACUGACUGUUAGAACCUCCUCCACUUAGCGGUAUUUAGACCAGAGCUUUCUUCUGUUAGUUUUCGGGGGAUUCUGUAAUCUCCCACUUUGCAGGGUGACAAAGAUGGUGCCUGGCUUCCUUUUGAACAACAGAGAAUGGCCUGAGACUUGUGCACAAUUCUUAAAUAUCAUAGUCUCUGCUCCUCCUCCUCCUCCAAUAAAAAAUCCUACUUUUGGGAACUGGAAAGACCUCUGAUUGAUUGCAUGACCAUGUGCUCCCAACACUGUAAAGCACUGUGCACACAUUAUGUCAUUCACUUCCCACCACAAUCCCAGGAGGAGGGAACGACGGUCCCACUUCAUAGACGGAAACCGGCUCAGAGAAGUCAUCACUUGACCAAAGACACAGGGUGAGUGGCUGGCGUUGCCACAGCUGGUUGACCCCAGUGUGGUUUGAGCCUACAACUGCCUUCCAUCCUCUGUCUACACAGCACAGUGAGCUCGUGGAAUGAAGUAAUGCGAUUAGAUGCACACUGUCAUUGGCAGUUAACUAUGGGUCAGUAAUUACCGUUAACAAAAGCAAUUAGCGAAUUCACACUGGUCUAGGGGUUUGGAUCACCGUGCAGGGUGGUGAUGGGUGCUGAGGAGGGCACAUGUGCUGAGCACUGGGUGUUACACGCAACCAGCGCAUCCUUGAACACUGUGUCAGAAACGAAUUCUGUACUAUACAGUGCCUAACUGAACAUAAUAAAAAGAAAUAAAAUGUUAAAA